GGGACGGUUGCGGGGAACAGAAAAGCAUUUCUGGAGACGUCGAAUGCCUUUUAUCUGGGGACUCGACUCGCUGGGGCCGACCAACCCUUGGACCUCACUGCCGAUCUCCUAUUUUGAUUAGCUGAAUUACAGGCAAAUUGCUCAUUCCCAUCUGCAAUUCAUGGCGACUCCAUCAGGCUCUGUCGCUUCUUCUGUGUCUUCCCAGUUCACCAAUUCCAACGGUUCAUAUUUCCCCGUGCCCUUUCACCUCCAGCAAUCCCUAGCGGCGCAGUAUGGGACAUCAUACGUGGCAGCAUCGCCAGCAGUGCAAAUUCCUCCUUCCCUUUAUCCGUCUCCGGCACCGGUCGCUGGGUUGUAUCCUCUGCCGCAGUAUCAGCAGGCGCAGCAACUGUUUCAAAGGGAUGCACAAACAAUUACACCUGAGGCUCUUGAAAGUGUCAAGGCGGCCAUUGCAAAUAGCGAGAUUGAGCAUAAGGCGGAGACCAAAAAGAAAGCAGUUCCUCGCAAAGCUGCUGGCCAAACAUGGGAGGAUCCCACUCUUGCAGAUUGGCCAGAAAAUGAUUAUCGGCUCUUUUGUGGUGAUCUUGGUAAUGAGGUGAAUGAUGAUGUUCUUUCAAAAACAUUUUCUCGAUUUCCUUCCUUUAACAUGGCACGAAUUUUUAUUUGAAGAAACAGAGUGUGAAUCUUAAGGUUGUCAGAGACAAGCGGACUGGAAAAACAAAGGGUUAUGGAUUUGUAAGCUUUGCCAAUCCUGCUGACCUUGCUGCUGCUCUGAAAGAAAUGAAUGGUAAAUAUGUUGGAAAUCGGCCAAUUAAGCUUCGCAGGAGCAAGUGGCAGGAGCGGACAGAUUAUGAGGCCCUGGAAAAACAGAAGAACCAAGCUCAGAAGAAAUCGAAAUUGCCGAGGAAGAGUAUUCUGCACAAGUAACUGAGGCCAGAUUAUGUAAUUCAGGCUUCCCGACGAAUUAAAAGCACGGUUCACAGUGACUGUGUUGUCUUUUCAAUUUUUUUCCUAAAUAUUCUGAUCUACUUUCCAUGUUUAUAUUUCUAGAAUUUGUGCUGGUCAUGUUCAAUCAGUGAAACGAGGAGGAAGAAAUCAUUUGUACUAAGUGACAGUACAUAUCGUUUUAUAUGUCUGACCUCUUGAAGUAGGACGAUCCUGAAGCAUACUGUUGGAUUGCAUGUGACGAUUAGUAGUUAUCGAGGGAGUUGGUAUUGCUGCUGCAUCGCUAAUUCUAAGUAUAUUCACAGGUAGCACAAGUUAUCUGGCCUUUUUUGUGCUCAACAUUGACAAGGUGCUAUCUAGAAGUGUUCGGCAGCGUCGAUUUAAUUUAUGGUCAACGGUGCGACGUGUGUACCUCCCAUAGGGUCUGAACACGUGUAAUUUGUCAAAAAAUGAUUGAGACUGCGUAGGUUUGUUGGCUAUAAAUGAAGAUACAACGAAUUUUUAUUAUUUUUUUAUGACCAGGGAGAUGCAGCUAAUUUAAUGGGAAAAAAUUGUGCUGUUACGUG